rnacentral:rRNA from 1 species
UGGGGAAUAUUGCACAAUGGGCGCAAGCCUGAUGCAGCCAUGCCGCGUGUAUGAAGAAGGCCUUCGGGUUGUAAAGUACUUUCAGCGAGGAGGAAGGUGUUGUGGUUAAUAACCGCAGCAACUGACGUUACUCGCAGAAGAAGCACCGGCUAACUCCGUGCCAGCAGCCGCGGUAAUACGGAGGGUGCAAGCGUUAAUCGGAAUUACUGGGCGUAAAGCGCACGCAGGCGGUCUGUCAAGUCGGAUGUGAAAUCCCCGGGCUCAACCUGGGAACUGCAUCCGAAACUGGCAGGCUAGAGUCUUGUAGAGGGGGGUAGAAUUCCAGGUGUAGCGGUGAAAUGCGUAGAGAUCUGGAGGAAUACCGGUGGCGAAGGCGGCCCCCUGGACAAAGACUGACGCUCAGGUGCGAAAGCGUGGGGAGCAAACA